rnacentral:rRNA from 1 species
CACGUAGGGCGCAAGCGUUGUCCGGAAUUAUUGGGCGUAAAGAGCUCGUAGGCGGUCUGUUGCGUCUGCUGUGAAAACCCGGGGCUUAACCCCUGGCUUGCAGUGGAUACGGACAGACUAGAGGUAGGUAGGGGAGAAUGGAAUUCCCGGUGUAGCGGUGAAAUGCGCAGAUAUCGGGAGGAACACCGGUGGCGAAGGCGGCUCUCUGGGCCUUUCCUGACGCUGAGACGCGAAAGCGUGGGGAGCGAACCGG